CGGGCCACGACACUAGCUUUCUGUAAACAUAUCGAAUAGCAAAUAUAUUCCAAGAAAAUUCAACUUUUUAUAUUUAUUUGUUCAAAAGUCCAAUAAUAUUCAUAUUUGAUUUUCUGGUUUGUUAUCAAUGAAGCACUGUUUAUUUUUUAACAAAAGAUAAGUAAAAUGAUACUUUUGCCAUCACAAAUAUGUUCUACCAAAAAUUUCAACUAUUAAAAUUAUAUACAAAUAUCUCUCAAAAAUCCUGAGCGGUCAAUUUUUUUCUUUCUCCCAUUAUAAAUAAUAUAAGAGGCGUAAAAGGUCAAUUUAUCUUAUUCAUUAACCAUGGUUAAGUACUCCACCUAUGAUUAACUAUAUUUUUCUAGCGGACCCUAACAGUAUGGAUAUAUUUGGCAAAGUUAGAAUUUUUAUAGAAAUAAAUAUAAAAGAUUUCGCUUUAAAAAAAUAUAUAUGUUAUUCAAUAUAUUU
rnacentral:lncRNA from 1 species